rnacentral:rRNA from 1 species
CCUUGCCAGCCCGCUCAGAAACUUAAAUGAAGUUGACGGGGCCCGCACAAGCGGAGGAGCAUGUGGUUAAUUCGAUGAUACGCGAGGAACCUUACCUGGGCUCGAACGUAAGAUGACUGUAGGUGAAAGCUUACAUCUCUUCGGAGCAUUUUACGAGGUGCUGCAUGGUUGUCGUCAGCUCGUGCCGUGAGGUGUCGGGUUAAGUCCCAUAACGAGCGCAACCCCUACCUUUAGUUGCCAUCAGGUAAUGCUGGGGACUCUAAAGGAACUGCCUACGCAAGUAGUGAGGAAGCGGGGAUGACGUCAAAUCAGCACGGCCCUUACGUCCAGGGCUACACACGUGCUACAAUGGCCGAUACAGAGGGUAGCUACCUGGUGACAGGAUGCAAAUCUCCAAAGUCGGUCUCAGUUCGGAUCGGAGUCUGCAACCCGACUCCGUGAAGUUGGAUUCGCUAGUAAUCGCGCAUCAGCCAUGGCGCGGUGAAUACGUUCCCGGGCCUU